rnacentral:rRNA from 1 species
AGGGUCCUACGGGGGGCAGCAGUGAGGAAUAUUGGUCAAUGGGCGGGAGCCUGAACCAGCCAAGCCGCGUGAGGGAAGAAGGUACAGCGUAUCGUAAACCUCUUUUGUCAGGGAACAAAGGCGGGGACUAGUCCCCGGAUGAGGGUACCUGAAGAAAAAGCAUCGGCUAACUCCGUGCCAGCAGCCGCGGUAAUACGGAGGAUGCGAGCGUUAUCCGGAUUUAUUGGGUUUAAAGGGAGCGCAGGCGG